rnacentral:miRNA from 1 species
CGAGCGCGAAAGGCUGCUGGGAAUCACUAUAGCAAAUUAAUGAAUUUUCAUAGCGAUUCCCAGCAGCCUUUCGCGCUCG